AGAAUGAACGUUGGCGGCGUGGAUUAGGCAUGCAAGUCGUUCGCCCCGCAAGGGGCGAGGCGCAAGGGUGAGUAAGGCGACGGCAACCAACCUCCCAAUCGGGCAUAGCCGCGGGAAACCGCGGGUAAUUCCCGGCGACGUCGGCGGGGGACAUCCCCCGGCGACCAAAGGUGCGAUUCCGUUGGGAGACGGGCCGUCGUGGUAUCAGCUUGUUGGCGGGGUGACGGCCCACCAAGGCUAUGACGCCUACCGGGCGUGCGAGCGUGGCCCGGCACACUGGGACUGAGACACUGCCCAGACUCCUACGGGAGGCUGCAGUCGAGAAUCUUCGGCAAUGGGCGCAAGCCUGACCGAGCGACGCCGCGUGGAGGACGAAGGCCUUCGGGUUGUAACUCCUGUCGAGGGGAGGAGGCGGCGCGAAGAGCGUCGCUUGACCGAUCCCUGGAGGAAGCACGGGCUAAGUUCGUGCCAGCAGCCGC
rnacentral:rRNA from 1 species